CCUACGGGAGGCAGCAGUAGGGAAUCUUCCGCAAUGGACGAAAGUCUGACGGAGCAACGCCGCGUGAACGAUGAAGGCCUUCGGGUCGUAAAGUUCUGUUGUUAGGGAAGAACAAGUGCUAGUUGAAUAAGCUGGCACCUUGACGGUACCUAACCAGAAAGCCACGGCUAACUACGUGCCAGCAGCCGCGGUAAUACGUAGGUGGCAAGCGUUGUCCGGAAUUAUUGGGCGUAAAGCGCGCGCAGGCGGUUUCUUAAGUCUGAUGUGAAAGCCCCCGGCUCAACCGGGGAGGGUCAUUGGAAACUGGGAAACUUGAGUGCAGAAGAGGAAAGUGGAAUUCCAAGUGUAGCGGUGAAAUGCGUAGAGAUUUGGAGGAACACCAGUGGCGAAGGCGACUUUCUGGUCUGUAACUGACGCUGAGGCGCGAAAGCGUGGGGAGCAAACAGGAUUAGAUACCCUGGUAGUCCACGCUGUAAACGAUGAGUGCUAAGUGUUAGAGGGUUUCCGCCCUUUAGUGCUGAAGUUAACGCAUUAAGCNCUCGCGNGGNGUAGUCGNGAGAGNGAAUACAAUUAGAUGAGNGNGNGNGNGCGAGCGACGACGAGGAGAGG
rnacentral:rRNA from 1 species